GAUGAACGCUGGCGGCGUGCCUAACACAUGCAAGUCGAACGAAGCUCUUACGACGGAACUCUUCGGAGGGAAGAUGUAUUAGACUUAGUGGCGGACGGGUGAGUAACGCGUGGGUAACCCUGCCCUGUACAGGGGGACAACAGUUAGAAAUGACUGCUAAUACCGCAUAAGCCUCCGGAACCGCAUGGUUCAGAAGGAAAAACUCCGGUGGUAUAGGAUGGGCCCGCGUCUGAUUAGCUGGUUGGUGAGGUAACGGCUCACCAAGGCGACGAUCAGUAGCCGGCUUGAGAGAGUGAACGGCCACAUUGGGACUGAGACACGGGCCCAAACUCCUACGGGAGGCAGCAGUGGGGAAUAUUGCACAAUGGGGGAAACCCUGAUGCAGCAACGCCGCGUGAGUGAAGAAGUAUUUCGGUAUGUAAAGCUCUAUCAGCAGGGAAGAAAAUGACGGUACCUGACUAAGAAGCUCCGGCUAAAUACGUG
rnacentral:rRNA from 1 species